rnacentral:lncRNA from 1 species
CUACCAGUGUAUCUGAGCUACUUGAUCGAACAAUCUGUAAUGAGUACACACAAAAAAAGUUAUUAGAUAAUUAUCUUAUCUACUAUUUCUUUUAUUUUGUUUAAAUAUCAUACAUAUGUUUUGUUUUUUUGAAAUUUUGGAAAUUUAGGUUCUUAGAACUAAUUAAAAUUAAAUAUGCCUUCAAAUUCUGAAUCUCUUACAAGUCCG